CCCCAGUACACAUCAGUGACUGCCCAGUCCUUUCACAGACACCGACACAGGCAGCAUUAUGAUGGGGUCAAACUUUUUACUGCUGGGGAUGCUGGGACUCUUUGCUCGGGGAUCAACGGCAGAUAUAGUUCUGACUCAGGAUCCAGCAGCUCAGUCUGUUCAGCUGGGAGACACUGUCUCUAUCAGCUGUACAGCCAGUCAGAGUGUUUACAGCAAUGACCGUCUCCACUGGUACCUGCAGAAACCUGGUCAGGCUCCUAAACUUCUCAUUUAUCUUGCCACAACACGCCAGUCUGGGAUUCCUGAUCGUUUCAGUGGGAGUGGAUCUGGGACUCAGUUCACACUGAAAAUCACUGGAGUCCAGGCUGAAGACGCAGGAGAUUAUUACUGUCAGAGUUCCCACGGUAGUGGCACGAUGUUCACACAGUGUUAGAGAGCUGUACAAAAACCUCCUUCAAUCAGACGGCACAGGGACUGCACUGCUGCAGCUGGGACCUACUGCAGGUGCUGAGGGUGCACUGAUCUGGGACAUAUUGCCUGUGGACCAGUAGGGGGCGACAAUGAGCUUCAGCCCUGAAUUUAUGCCUCUCUGUACUGAAGAGGAGCUGCUCUGUGUCACACACAGAACCCAUAGCAGAGCUGCUGCUGAACCACACACACUACUGUACCACAAUAUCACAGGAAACACGUCGUAUUUCAGCUCACAAGGAGCAAUGAUCACCUGGAGUUCACCCUAAGCAGAGGAUGUGUACUUUCUCCUAGAGGAGGAAUGAGUGGGAUUUCAAAUGAACUGCUGUCUGAAGGGUAUUUUGAGUUGAAUACAUACAUCAGUGUUUAUGUAAUUAAAGUGGCCAGGUGUCUGGGCUGUCCCCAGGGGGUUAGUGUGAGCAGAGCACACAUCCUGCUGCACAGAACUGCACUGAGCGCGCUCACACAUCACUGCUCCUCUCAGCAGGCCUCCAGAGCUGGGACUGCCCCUCCUUAACUGAUUCCAGACCAGUUAUUUCACACACAACCUCUCAUCACCUCCAUCUGGCCUCUGUCUCAAUCCCCUAUAAAUUGGUAUAUAGUAAUUUUUCUAAUUAAUUAUAAUUGUAUUUUCCAUGAAAAAAAAGAGAAAACUCAUGUAACAUUUCUUAAUGGUUUCUCAAUACAU